rnacentral:lncRNA from 1 species
UAACACAAGCACACACAGGUGCGCCCAGGCUGGCGGCCGAGCUUCAGGAAGCGCUGGUUCUGAGUGAGGCCGUGCGGGCGCUGGGCAACACAGCCGGGCCCUGGCCGAGGACCACAGGUCGCCCACCAGGCCCUGCACCAGCAGAGCUUCAGAGCGGAAGUAUGUGUGACCUACUCGGCUCCUCAUAUCCUGCAAAUGGCACCCGGACCACAAUGAGCAGCUGGGGCCACCUGCCCCAUGGCAUCGCUGUGCCGAGGACACAGAGCGGCCGAUGGGAAUGGGCGAGUGAGCACAUGGUCCAAGGAACGCCCACCCCACUUCUUCGAGUCAGAGGGAGCCUACGCCGAGCUUCACAGCCCCAAACGGUUUCCCGACUGUUGGCCCAUCCUGAACUGAACGCUGCCUGAGCGACGGCGGAGACUGCAGAGCCAGGCCGCCACCCAUGAGGCUGACGUUCUUCCCUCUACUCCCACCAGACGCCUCCCCAGCUGGUGAGGACGCACAGAGGCCACGGUCUUCCCUCUACUCCCACCAGACGCUUCCCCAGCUGGUGAGGACGCACAGAGGCCACGGUCUUCCCUCUACUCCCACCAGACGCCUCCCCAGCUGGUGAGGACACACACGAG